rnacentral:rRNA from 1 species
CAACCGAGAUUCCGAAAGUAGCGGCGAGCGAAAUUGGACUAGCCCUUAAGCUUUACAUGCGUUAGACGAACGGUCUGGAAAGUCCGACGAUACAGGGUGAUAGUCCCGUAGUUGACGACGUGUGUUCAGUGAAAUCGAGUAGGGCGGGACACGUGAUAUCCUGUCUGAAUAUGGGGGGACCAUCCUCCAAGGCUAAAUACUACUGACUGACCGAUAGUGAACCAGUACCGUGAGGGAAAGGCGAAAAGAACCCCUGUGAGGGGAGUGAAAUAGAACCUGAAACCGUGUACGUACAAGCAGUAGGAGCAGGCUUUGUCCUGUGACUGCGUACCUUUUGUAUAAUGGGUCAGCGACUUAUAUUCAGUGGCAAGGUUAACCAUCUAGGGGAGCCGUAGGGAAACCGAGUCUUAACUGGGCGUUCAGUCUCUGGAUAUAGACCCGAAACCAGGUGAUCUAGCCAUGGGCAGGUUGAAGGUUGAGUAACAUCAACUGGAGGACCGAACCGACUAAUGUUGAAAAAUUAGCGGAUGACUUGUGGCUAGGGGUGAAAGGCCAAUCAAACCUGGAGAUAGCUGGUUCUCCCCGAAAGCUAUUUAGGUAGCGCCUCGGACGAAUACUACUGGGGGUAGAGCACUGUUAAGGCUAGGGGGUCAUCCCGACUUACCAACCCUUUGCAAACUCCGAAUACCAGUAAGUACUAUCCGGGAGACACACGGCGGGUGCUAACGUCCGUCGUGGAGAGGGAAACAACCCAGACCGCCAGCUAAGGUCCCAAAUUACUACUAAGUGGGAAACGAUGUGGGAAGGCUCAGACAGCCAGGAUGUUGGCUUAGAAGCAGCCAUCAUUUAAAGAAAGCGUAAUAGCUCACUGGUCGAGUCGGCCUGCGCGGAAGAUGUAACGGGGCUAAGUAGUAAACCGAAGCUGCGGCAAUGUGCUUUUGCACAUUGGGUAGGGGAGCGUUCUGUAAGCGGUUGAAGGUGUGUGGUAACGCAUGCUGGACGUAUCAGAAGUGCGAAUGCUGACAUGAGUAACGAUAAAGGGGGUGAAAAACCUCCUCGCCGGAAGACCAAGGGUUCCUGUCCAACGUUAAUCGGGGCAGGGUAAGUCGACCCCUAAGGCGAGGCCGAAAGGCGUAGUCGAUGGGAAACGGGUUAAUAUUCCCGUACUUCUUACAAUUGCGAUGGGGGGACGGAGAAGGCUAGGUGGGCCUGGCGACGGUUGUCCAGGUUCAAGUGCGUAGGCUUAAGAGUUAGGUAAAUCCGGCUCUUUUUAAGGCUGAGACACGACGUCGAGCACCUACGGGUGUGAAGUCAUUGAUGCCAUGCUUCCAGGAAAAGCCUCUAAGCUUCAGAUUGUAAGGAAUCGUACCCCAAACCGACACAGGUGGUCGGGUAGAGAAUACCAAGGCGCUUGAGAGAACUCGGGUGAAGGAACUAGGCAAAAUGGUACCGUAACUUCGGGAGAAGGUACGCUCUCGACGGUGAAGUCCCUUGCGGAUGGAGCUAUUGAGAGUCGCAGAUACCAGGUGGCUGCAACUGUUUAUUAAAAACACAGCACUGUGCAA